rnacentral:rRNA from 1 species
UUGAACGCUGGCGGAAUGCUUUACACAUGCAAGUCGAGCGGCAGCGCGGGGCAACCUGGCGGCGAGCGGCGAACGGGUGAGUAAUGCAUCGGAACAUGUCCAAUCGUGGGGGAUAGCCCGGCGAAAGCCGGAUUAAUACCGCAUACGCCCGAGAGGGGAAAGCGGGGGACCGCAAGGCCUCGCGCGAUUGGGUUGGCCGAUGUCCGAUUAGCUAGUUGGUGGGGUAAAGGCCUACCAAGGCGACGAUCCGUAGCGGGUCUGAGAGGAUGAUCCGCCACACUGGGACUGAGACACGGCCCAGACUCCUACGGGAGGCAGCAGUGGGGAAUUUUGGACAAUGGGGGCAACCCUGAUCCAGCCAUGCCGCGUGAGUGAAGAAGGCCUUCGGGUUGUAAAGCUCUUUCAGACGGAAAGAAAACGCAUCGGUGAAUACCCGGUGUGGAUGACGGUACCGUAAGAAGAAGCACCGGCUAACUACGU